UUCAGAGGGUGCAAGCGUUGUCCGGAAUCACUGGGCGUAAAGGGCGCGUAGGCGGCUCGGUAAGUAGGAGGUGAAAUCUCACGGCUCAACUGUGAGGCUGCCUUCUAGACUGCCGGACUUGAGCACAGUAGAGGCUGGUGGGAUUCCCGGUGUAGCGGUGGAAUGCGUAGAGAUCGGGAAGAACAUCUGUGGCGAAGGCGGCCAGCUGGGCUGUUGCUGACGCUGAGGCGCGACAGCGUGGGGAGCAAACAGG
rnacentral:rRNA from 1 species